rnacentral:lncRNA from 1 species
GGGAGCACAGGUUGGUAGACUAGUCUUAAUAAUAAAUAUAUGUUCGUCUUCAUUCUCCCGAGCUUCUUUUAUGUUCUCACGUCAUUAUACGUGCUGAUGGUCCCUGGAGAUAGUAGGUGUUUGCUAUGUGUUGCCGAAUCGAAGACACGGUGGUGUUCUUUUAUUCUCUAUGAUGUAUAACGACGGCACACCAUGAUACUUAUAUUAUGGUUUAAUACCAUGUCAUUACAUUUCAAGCUUUUCAGUCGUGCCACUAUAACUUUCACAAUAUCCAAGAUAUACCAUUACUUACAUUUUUGUUGUGUAUCUCAAAUUUUUUGGACUAAUUUGCAGUUGUCUUCUUUGUUGUCCCGCCUCUCUUUUGUUCAUCUGUCUCUCAAUUUUCCUUUCCACCAACCUCCCAAUUCCUAGCCUUCUCAAGAGAACUCGUUCCCCGAUAUUUUUUUUAUCCAAUUCUUAUCGAGUUUGGAUUUUCCAACUCUAACCUAGAGCAGAUUGGUUGGAUCGGUCUAUGUUAGAUAUAUGGGGUUGUUCUAUAUAAAUAGUUCUUAAUAAAUCUCAAAGACCCAUUAAUAUUAAAUGGGUACACCAUCUAUUAGUCCUAUAUUACUAGUAAACGAGUGUGUGGGGCGUUUUCCUCCCUAUAAAUACGGAACACCCCUUAUGAAAAAGACGCACCAUAGACUAUUAAGCAAUGAGUUCCCUAGGUUUGGGAAUCCCUAAAAGCAACUCCAACAGAUCCUCUUUCUCCUUCUCCUUUUCCACUUUUCAGCCAUAAAGAGGGUUGAGGGGGAAAAAAAUUCUUCCAACAGAUCCCCUUUCUAUCUUCCUUUCCCCUCUCUUUUUUCUCAAUCCCCUUUAUCAUCCUCCUUCUCCCCUUUAUCUUCCUCCUCCCCUUUACAAAGGGGAUUUACCCCUCCUCCCUUUCAUCCAUU